rfam:Stegodyphus mimosarum contig97934, whole genome shotgun sequence.
GCCUUCGUGGUGUAGUGGUCAGCACGCUGGGCGCGUAACCCAGAGGUCCAUGGUUCGAGUCCCGGCGAAGGCG